rnacentral:lncRNA from 1 species
CAGAGACAUAGAGGGAGAAGCAGGCUUCGUGCGGGGAACCUGAUGUGGGACUCCAUCCCAGGACCCCAGGAUCAUGCCCUGAGCCGAGGGGAGAUGCUCAACCACUGAGUCACCCAGGUGCCCCCAAUUAGAGGUUUUAAAAACUCAUCACCUAAGAGCAAGGCCUAAAUACCUUGUGGUUUGGAGUCAAGGUUUAGAAAACAAUGAAAGAUGAAAUGCUUGGAAAUGUGGUAAUUGUCUGGGAAAACCAGCCUGGCACUUAUUAUUCAGCAAAUGCACCCCACGAAGCCUCCUGCAGUUGCAUCCCAACUCCUACACCCACUCCUACACCCACACCCACACCCACACGUGAACACAUGAGUCCCAUUUUACACAAGUACUGCUUCGUUUGCAUCGUUUUGUAGUGUCCCCUUCUUAAAUAAAAAAAUUGAUAAUAAAAUGUGCCUAACUUUUAACUCAACACAGUCAGCCGCGACAUAACAGGGCCAAACCCUGACCAAAUGCAUGUGCUUCGUGCUCCACCUGGGGCCGCAAACCCAGGUUCUCUGGAUUGGAAGAAGAAACGCGCCUCAGAGCAGAAGCAGGUUGCAGCUGGUGGCCGUGCUGAUGACCCCAGUGCCUUCCCCCAGUCCAUCCAUGCAGGGAACGCCCGGAAGGGACACUGAGGCAAUCAGGGACCAGCCAGCCAGUCGAGAAGAGAAGUCACCUGCAAGUACCAGCAACUGCUGCUGGUAUGUCAGGGGGACAUGGGCACCCUGAAAAGCAGAGCGUGUACCAAGUCUUGAAUGAGGGAAGGAAAAUUGGUUCCUAAAGAAGAGCUCAAGGUCAGUAGGGGUGAAAUACUCUAUU